rnacentral:rRNA from 1 species
UUCGGGAAACCGGAGCUAAUACCGGAUAAUAUAUUGAACCGCAUGGUUCAAUAGUGAAAGACGGUUUUGCAGUCACUUAUAGAUGGAUCCGCGCCGCAUUAGCUAGUUGGUAAGGUAACGGCUUACCAAGGCAACGAUGCGUAGCCGACCUGAGAGGGUGAUCGGCCACACUGGAACUGAGACACGGUCCAG